rnacentral:rRNA from 1 species
GGAAAGGCGCGCGAUACAGGGUGACAGCCCCGUACACAAAAAUGCACAUGCUGUGAGCUCGAUGAGUAGGGCGGGACACGUGGUAUCCUGUCUGAAUAUGGGGGGACCAUCCUCCAAGGCUAAAUACUCCUGACUGACCGAUAGUGAACCAGUACCGUGAGGGAAAGGCGAAAAGAACCCCGGCGAGGGGAGUGAAAAAGAACCUGAAACCGUGUACGUACAAGCAGUGGGAGCACGCUUAGGCGUGUGACUGCGUACCUUUUGUAUAAUGGGUCAGCGACUUAUAUUCUGUAGCAAGGUUAACCGAAUAGGGGAGCCGAAGGGAAACCGAGUCUUAACUGGGCGUUAAGUUGCAGGGUAUAGACCCGAAACCCGGUGAUCUAGCCAUGGGCAGGUUGAAGGUUGGGUAACACUAACUGGAGGACCGAACCGACUAAUGUUGAAAAAUUAGCGGAUGACUUGUGGCUGGGGGUGAAAGGCCAAUCAAACCGGGAGAUAGCUGGUUCUCCCCGAAAGCUAUUUAGGUAGCGCCUCGUGAAUUCAUCUCCGGGGGUAGAGCACUGUUUCGGCAAGGGGGUCAUCCCGACUUACCAACCCGAUGCAAACUGCGAAUACCGGAGAAUGUUAUCACGGGAGACACACGGCGGGUGCUAACGUCCGUCGUGAAGAGGGAAACAACCCAGACCGCCAGCUAAGGUCCCAAAGUCAUGGUUAAGUGGGAAACGAUGUGGGAAGGCCCAGACAGCCAGGAUGUUGGCUUAGAAGCAGCCAUCAUUUAAAGAAAGCGUAAUAGCUCACUGGUCGAGUCGGCCUGCGCGGAAGAUGUAACGGGGCUAAACCAUGCACCGAAGCUGCGGCAGCGACGCUUAUGCGUUGUUGGGUAGGGGAGCGUUCUGUAAGCCUGCGAAGGUGUGCUGUGAGGCAUGCUGGAGGUAUCAGAAGUGCGAAUGCUGACAUAAGUAACGAUAAAGCGGGUGAAAAGCCCGCUCGCCGGAAGACCAAGGGUUCCUGUCCAACGUUAAUCGGGGCAGGGUGAGUCGACCCCUAAGGCGAGGCCGAAAGGCGUAGUCGAUGGGAAACAGGUUAAUAUUCCUGUACUUGGUGUUACUGCGAAGGGGGGACGGAGAAGGCUAUGUUGGCCGGGCGACGGUUGUCCCGGUUUAAGCGUGUAGGCUGGUUUUCCAGGCAAAUCCGGAAAAUCAAGGCUGAGGCGUGAUGACGAGGCACUACGGUGCUGAAGCAACAAAUGCCCUGCUUCCAGGAAAAGCCUCUAAGCAUCAGGUAACAUCAAAUCGUACCCCAAACCGACACAGGUGGUCAGGUAGAGAAUACCAAGGCGCUUGAGAGAACUCGGGUGAAGGAACUAGGCAAAAUGGUGCCGUAACUUCGGGAGAAGGCACGC